rnacentral:rRNA from 1 species
CGCGUAGACGGUUUGUAAGUCAGAUGUGAAAUCCCUGGGCUCAACCUGGGAACUGCAUUUGAAACUGCAUGGCUAGAGUAUGGUAGAGGGAAGUGGAAUUUCCGGUGUAGCGGUGAAAUGCGUAGAUAUCGGAAGGAACACCAGUGGCGAAAGCGACUUCCUGGACCAAUACUGACGUUCAUGUGCGAAAGCGUGGGGAGCAAACAGGAUUAGAUACCCUGGUAGUCCACGCCAUAAACGAUGACAACUAGAUGUUGGGAGGGUCUGCCUCUCGGUGUCGCAGCUAACGCGUUAAGUUGUCCGCCUGGGGAGUACGGCCGCAAGGUUGAA